rnacentral:lncRNA from 8 species
ACCCAGCCCAGACCCCAUUCCUCUCCCUACGACCCUGCGUGAGUCCAUUAUGACAUCUAUGUUGUCUUUAAGACAAUUUGAGAUUUCUAUAUUAGUCAAAUUAAACCCUUCCUUUACUUACAAUUAUUAGAGACUAUUUUAUUGUCUCUAACACAUUUUUAACUCUCUACAGGUGUUCAGGUAUGAAAUACCUCUAAACUACUCUAAACCCUGUUGGUUUGCAGGGCUGGUUUCGUGGUCUUCUAUGACCUGGUGCUGGGGUUAGAUGCCAUGCUGAGGGUUCUGCGUCUAGUGCCUGGUCUCUACUCUGGGGGCCAGGAGGUGGGGCGUCCUACUCCACUGCUCCCUGUGAAGUGCCAGCUUGGAGGGGGUCUGCCUUACUCCCACACUGUGCCCCCCGGGAACUAUGUCCCACUGGCAAUCAAACAGCCUAUGCCCAGGAUGCAGCCGUCUCCCUCCUUGUCUUUGAUGGUUGAGCUCCAGGCUGCUGGGGGUCUGGACGCCUACGUUCAGGAGGUCCAGAGGCUGGUGUCCCAGGGCUGGAGCUCUUCAACCAGCACAACUAGUUCCAGAGCGGGUACUCGAGGGUCCCAGUACGUGCCCUCCUUGUCCGACCCUUCCUUAGCCCAGGCCAGCUGA